UGGGGAAUAUUGCACAAUGGGCGCAAGCCUGAUGCAGCCAUGCCGCGUGUGUGAAGAAGGCCGUCGGGUUGUAAAGUACCUUCAGCGGGGAGGAAGGCGAUAAGGUUAAUAACCUUGUCGAUUGACGUUACCCGCAGAAGAAGCACCGGCUAACUCCGUGCCAGCAGCUGCGGUAAUACGGAGGGUGCAAGCGUUAAUCGGAAUUACUGGGCGUAAAGCGCACGCAGGCGGUUUGUUAAGUCAGAUGUGUAAUCCCCGGGCUCAACCUGGGAACUGCAUCUGAUACUGGUAAGCUUGAGUCUCGUAGAGGGGGGUAGAAUUCCAGGUGUAGCGGUGAAGUGCGUAGAGAUCUGGAGGAAUACCGGUGGCUAAGGCGGCCCCCUAGACGAAGACUGACGCUCAGGUGCGAAAGCGUGGGGAGCAAACAGG
rnacentral:rRNA from 1 species